CAAGUCGAGCGAGAAAGGGACUUCGGUCCUGAGUACAGCGGCGGACGGGUGAGUAACACGUAGGUAACCUACCCUUUGGCGGAGGACAACGGUCCGAAAGGACCGCUAAUACUGCGUACGUUCCUCGGGUCCUUGGACCUGGGGAGGAAAGCCGGGCAACCGGCACCAGAGGAGGGGCCUGCGUCGCAUCAGCUAGUUGGUGGGGUAAUGGCCUACCAAGGCUAAGACGCGUAGCUGGUCUGAGAGGAUGAUCAGCCACACUGGGACUGAGACACGGCCCAGACUCCUACGGGAGGCAGCAGUGGGGAAUAUUGGACAAUGGGCGCAAGCCUGAUCCAGCCACGCCGCGUGAGUGAUGAAGGCCUUCGGGUCGUAAAGCUCUGUGGGGAGGGACGAACGUCCGGGUGUAGAAUCCGGGGUGACGGUACCUCCUUAGCAAGCACCGGCUAACUUCGUGCCAGCAGCCGCGGUAAUACGAAGGGUGCAAACGUUGCUCGGAAUCAUUGGGCGUAAAGCGCACGUAGGCGGCUUCGCAAGUCGGAUGUGAAAUACCUAGGCUCAACCAAGGACGUGCAUCCGAAACUGCGAGGCUUGAGUACAGAAGAGGAUCGCGGAAUUCCCGGUGUAGAGGUGAAAUUCGUAGAUAUCGGGAGGAACACCAGUGGCGAAGGCGGCGAUCUGGGCUGAUACUGACGCUGAG
rnacentral:rRNA from 1 species